GACGUAGGGCGCGAGCGUUGUCCGGAUUUAUUGGGCGUAAAGAGCUCGUAGGCGGCUUGUCGCGUCGAAUGUGAAAUCUCAGGGCUCAACUCUGGCAUUGCAUUCGAUACGGGCAGGCUAGAGUUCGGUAGGGGAGACUGGAAUUCCUGGUGUAGCGGUGAAAUGCGCAGAUAUCAGGAGGAACACCGAUGGCGAAGGCAGGUCUCUGGGCCGAUACUGACGCUGAGGAGCGAAAGCGUGGGGAGCGAACAGG
rnacentral:rRNA from 1 species